rnacentral:rRNA from 1 species
CCUACGGGAGGCUGCAGUGGGGAAUAUUGCACAAUGGGCGCAAGCCUGAUGCAGCCAUGCCGCGUGUGUGAAGAAGGCCUUCGGGUUGUAAAGCACUUUCAGCGGGGAGGAAGGCGGUGAGGUUAAUAACCUCAUCGAUUGACGUUACCCGCAGAAGAAGCACCGGCUAACUCCGUGCCAGCAGCCGCGGUAAUACGGAGGGUGCAAGCGUUAAUCGGAAUUACUGGGCGUAAAGCGCACGCAGGCGGUCUGUCAAGUCGGAUGUGAAAUCCCCGGGCUCAACCUGGGAACUGCAUUCGAAACUGGCAGGCUAGAGUCUUGUAGAGGGGGGUAGAAUUCCAGGUGUAGCGGUGAAAUGCGUAGAGAUCUGGAGGAAUACCGGUGGCGAAGGCGGCCCCCUGGACAAAGACUGACGCUCAGGUGCGAAAGCGUAGGGAGCAAACAGGAUUAGAUACCCUAGUAGUC